rnacentral:misc_RNA from 1 species
AAGUCGUAACAAGGUUUCCGUAGGUAUGUAAAACCACAUCCUCUCUAUCUAUUUGAAGAAUUCUUGCUAACGUCCCUCUCAGGUGAACCUGCGGAAGGAUCAUUACCGAGUUAGGGUCUCUCAGGCCCGAUCUCCCAACCCUUGUGUUUAAAUAUACCAUGUUGCUUCGGCGGGCCCGUCUCCGGACCGCUGGGUGGUCUAUGACUGCCUGGCCCGUUUGCCCGUCGAUAGCCCAACCCCAAACUCUUGUUAAAACAUGCUGUCUGAGUAUAAACAAGCAAUUAAAUUAAAACUUUCAACAACGGAUCUCUUGGUUCUG